CCUACGGGUGGCGGCAGUGAGGAAUAUUGGUCAAUGGGCGCGAGCCGGAACCAGCCAAGUAGCGGGAAGGAUGACAGCCCUACGGGUUGUAAACUUCUGUUAUAAAGGAAUAAAGUGAGGCACGUGUGCCUUUUUGUAUGUACCUUAUGAAUAAGGAUCGGCUAACUCCGUGCCAGCAGCCGCGGUAAUACGGAGGAUCCGAGCGUUAUCCGGAUUUAUUGGGUUUAAAGGGAGCGUAGAUGGGUUGUUAAGUCAGUUGUGAAAGUUUGCGGCUCAACCGUGAAAUUGCAAUUGAUACUGGCAGGCUAUAGUGCAGUUGAGGUAGGCGGAAUUCGUGGUGUAGCGGUGAAAUGCUUAGAUAUCACGAAGAACUCCGAUUGCGAAGGCAGCCUACUAAACUGCCACUGACGUUGAUGCUCGAAAGUGUGGGUAUCAAACAGGAUUAGAUACCCUGGUAGUC
rnacentral:rRNA from 1 species